GAUGAACGCUGGCGGCGUGCCUAAUACAUGCAAGUCGAGCGAACAGACGAGGAGCUUGCUCCUCUGACGUUAGCGGCGGACGGGUGAUUAACACGUGGAUAACCUACCUAUAAGACUGGGAUAACUUCGGGAAACCGGAUCUAAUACCGGAUAAUAUAUUGAACCGCAUGGUUCAAUAGUGAAAGACGGUUUUGCUGUCACUUAUAGAUAGAUCCGCGCCGCAUUAGCUAGUUGGUAAGGUAACGGCUUACCAAGGCAACGAUGCGUAGACGACCUGAGAGGGUGAUCCGCCACACUGGAACUGAGACACGGUCCAGACUCCUACGGGAGGCAGCAGUAGGGAAUCUUCCGCAAUGGGCGAAAGCCUGACGGAGCAACGCCGCGUGAGGGAUGAAGGUCUUCGGAUCGUAAAACUCUGUUAUUAGGGAAGAACAAAUGUGUAAGUAACUAUGCACGUCUUGACGGUACCUAAUCAGAAAGCCACGGCUAACUACGUG
rnacentral:rRNA from 1 species